rnacentral:rRNA from 1 species
CCUACGGGAGGCAGCAGUGGGGAAUAUUGGGCAAUGGGCGCAAGCCUGACCCAGCAACGCCGCGUGUGGGACGACGGUCCUCUGGAUUGUAAACCACUGUCCCCAGGGACGAAGCUGACGGUACCUGGGGAGGAAGCUCCGGCUAACUACGUGCCAGCAGCCGCGGUAAUACGUAGGGAGCGAGCGUUGUCCGUGUUUACUGGGUGUAAAGGGCGUGUAGCCGGGCUGAAACGUCAGAUGUUAAAUCCGGGGGCUCAACCCCCGAACUGCAUUUGAAACUGUUGGUCUUGAGUAUCGGGGAGGCAGGCGGAAUUCCUAGUGUAGCGGUGAAAUGCGUAGAUAUUAGGAGGACAACCAGUGGCGAAGACGGCCUGCUGGACGACAACUGACGGUGAGGCGCGAAAGCGUGGGGAGCAAACAGGAUUAGAUACCCCUGUAGUC